UAUCGUUAUAUGGUUGGUGGUUUUUAUGUUCUACUUAUAGGUGAUGCACCUGCUGAACAAUACUAGCAAAUUUGGAAAAAGCUCAGCCUGUUUAUGAUAAUAUAUUUAAAACACAAGAUACAUAUUUGGCAAUUGAACUUUUGUGGAAUCGGUUAAUACGAUGAAUUUGAUAUGAAAUUGGUAUGCUAUUUUUAAAUUUUUCUAUUACAUAUUUUCGUAUAAAGAUGUGCAUGUCUGCUGUAAUCCUAAAGUUGGUAAUAAACAAACAUUAAAUAUUAAAUAAUUAUAUUUGUCUGAUUCGUCUUAAUUUAUUUUCAGAGUUAUCCUACAUAUGAUGAUCUGUUUAAGUUGUAUGGAUAACCUUGGUUCAUAGCCUAUCUAUAUAAUCGUUCAUAGGAUGUCAGAUUUAAAUAACUUAUUUCCGUGGACUGCCAAUGUAUUUUCAAAUUAUUGCAGCUAUAUGAGGUUUCUGAAAGCUGACAUGAAAGCAAUGGAUCUUAAUGGUAGUGGAAAACUGAAAGACAAUAACAAGGCACAACCAGUUCUCAUAACAAGAAAACAACCUCUUUCCACGACUCACUUGUGAGGGAGAGCCACCUCAGGGACACCUUCGUGAGCGACCAGAAAAUGACUGCUAAGAUAGAUGUGGAGGCGGCUAAUGGUCACAAAGUCGAUGAGGAGCUUCAGAGAGAGUCUGGAGGCAAGCCGUGCUGAAAAUUGAAUCAGACAAGGAGGAGCACUCGGUGGAGAAGGCAAGCAGUGGCAAUACUACUGUCGACUACUACUAAACUCUCUAAUUUUACGAAAAGCCAUUGCAUAUGGUUAUACUAGACGAGUGAGUGUUAUUGUUUAGGUACUUGCAUGCCAACUGAAGACUGUGUGGAGAGUAAGAGUAAGAGUUAUAGUGUGUAUCUUUUUUUUGGCCAUAUAGAUUUUUUAUUCAAUGAGCUCUUUUCUGAAUAGCAAGGUUCUGCUCUCUAACUUCUCUGCUGAUGCUGACCACUGCAGCUUUGAUUGUCCAUCGUAUGGCUGCCGCCAGUUGCACACAUGUCUAUAAAGUAGAGUUUGUGAGCCUGCGACAUCGGGCUCUUUAUGACUUUUAAUUUCACAAACUUUACUUUUUGAAUUAAAUAUUAUUUUAA